rnacentral:rRNA from 1 species
AGGUGGUGCAUGGUUGUCGUCAGCUCGUGUCGUGAGAUGUUGGGUUAAGUCCCGCAACGAGCGCAACCCUCGCCUCUAGUUGCCAGCAUUCGGUUGGGCACUCUAGAGGGACUGCCGGCGACAAGUCGGAGGAAGGUGGGGAUGACGUCAAGUCCUCAUGGCCCUUAUAGGUGGGGCUACACACGUCAUACAAUGGAUGGUACAAAGGGUCGCCAACCCGCGAGGGGGAGCCAAUCCCAUAAAGCCAUUCGUAGUCCGGAUCGCAGUCUGCAACUCGACUGCGUGAAGUCGGAAUCGCUAGUAAUCGUGGAUCAGAAUGUCACGGUGAAUACGUUCCCGGGUCUU